ACACACACACACACACACACACACACACACACACUUUCAUCCCAUCCACUAAGACUGGAUCAUGCCCUACAGCCUGCAUCCAUUAAGAUAUCCAUGUCUCAACCAUCAUGGCCUACAGCCUGCAUCCAUACCGAUAUGCAUGUCUCACGUUCAAAGUGUCCCCUACUGACGAUGUUAAGCAGAGCCCAGUACGCACAGAAACCCUCUGUUUGCAAACACAGCAGGAUAAAUUCACUUCAUUUUCAUUACACUUCAUCAAUAUGAUGCUUUGGAUAAAAGCAUCUGCUAAAUACCCGACCUUGACCUUUAUUUUAUUUUAUUUUAUUUUAUUUUCAUGUUGCAUUGUUUGCUGAACUGGCUCUCUGACCUGCACUGUGGUGUUUACAGAGUGGGUUGGCUCCCUGUCUGCAUCUGGGUGUGUGUGUGUGUGUGUGUGUGUGUGUGUGUGUGUGUGUGUGUGUGUGUGUGUGUGUGUGUCUGCAUCUGGGUGGGUCUGGAGCGUCUGCAGGGAGAUUCACUGGCUGCUGGGCUGGACAGCAGCAAAGGGAAUUGAUGGGGUUAGAAUUGACGUUUUUUCACCCCUCUCUCUCUCCCUCUCUCUCUCUCUGUCUGAUCUCUUCUCACUCACUUCCUCUGAUCCCCCUCCUUCUCUCGCCCCCCUCACUACCCUUGCUCUUUAUUUAUUUCUCUCUCUAUCCCUCUCUCUUCCUCUUACUCCCUCUCUCUUCCUCUUUCUCCCUCUCUCUUCCUCUGUAUCUCUGUCUACCUCUUUCUCUCUUCCUCUCUAUCUCUCUCUCCCUCUCUCUUCCUCUCUAUCUCUCUCUCCCUCUCUCUUCCUCUCUAUCUCUCUCUCCCUCUCUCUUCCUCUCUAUCUCCCUCCCUCCCACCCUCUUCCUACUCCUUUCAUUCCCUUAGUGCCCAAUCUCUCUCUCUCUCUCUCUUUCUUUUUCUCUUCACCCCUCUCUUCCCCCUCUCCCCUCUGCUGAAUAGUGCCUCCAGUCCUCUCUCUCCCUCUUUCUCCCCCUCUCUCCCCCUCUUUCUCUCUCUCUCUCUCUCUCAGUAACAUAAAGCAGUGUUGGUGUGUUGCUGUAUAACUCAAUUAGACACAGCGGGCCCACAGGGGGACAUGCAGCCAGCCAGCCUCUCUGCUGUGUCUCCCCUCUGUUGCGUAACAGCCUCUUUAUUACACAACACAAUGGCCCGUUUCAGACCAAGGACUUUCGUGACACUUAGCCUUAAUCUAUUUCACCCACAGAGGACUUCAUAUUACCCCCUCAUCAUCACCGUCAGGACCUUCAUCAUCAUCAUCACUGUCACUGCCGUUGCGUAAUUGCCACUACUGUCCUUGGGAACCCACCAUCACUUUCAUCAUCAUCAUCGUCGUUGUCAUCCUCAUCAUCGUCGCCAUCAUCACUUUGAUUAACGUAUCAAACAUCACCUUCAACCAUAAACAUCACCUUCAACUUCACGGUCAUCAUCCUCAUCAUCAUCCUAAUCAAAAUAGCUGUUGCAUUAGUCUUUGUUGUCAUCAGUAUGUCUAUGUCUGUCUAGUGUGUGCGUGUGGGUGUAUGCUUGUGUGUGUGUGUGUGUGUGUGUGUGUGUGUGUGUCUGUGUCUGUGUCUGUGUGUGUGUGUGUGUGUGUGUGUGUGUGUGUGUGUGUGUCUGUGUGUGUGUCUGUGUGUGUGUGUGUGUGUGUGUGUGUGUGUUUGUGUGUAUGUGUCUUCUAUCUGUGAGUGUUAUCCUUCUGUGUCAUUAUGAUGUGCAUCUCAGGUAAGGCUUCAGAGGAUGAGGUCAAGAACUGUGACCUGGUCUGGAUCAGAUCCACAGCCUGCUGUUCUCUGGACAACAGUGGAGUCGCCGCGGAGACCUGCCGCAUCUCUGGUCGCGCUGACGUAAACCCACUUUUUUUGCUGUUUUGUUUACUUCUCGCCUGCCAUUCUCAUGCUGUAAAUGAACCAGGAACAGACGGCAGAGAUUCCAACACGACAUCAAGCUGCUGUGUGUAUUGAUGGGCCAUGCAACUGGACAACUGAAUGAUGGGCCAUGCAACUGGACAACUGAAAGCAUUAAAUAAUUAAUCAUCACCAGCGCCCCCCCCCCACCCCAC
ensembl:lncRNA